rnacentral:rRNA from 1 species
AGAGUUUGAUCCUGGCUCAGGACGAACGCUGACGGUGUGCUUUAGGCAUGCAAGUCGAACGAGAAAACCCUUCGGGGUGAGUAAAGUGGCGAACGGGUGAGUAACACGUGGGCAACCUGCCCCUCGCAGGGGGACAACCGGAGGAAACUCCGGCUAAUACCCCGUAAGCUCUACACGCCGCAUGGCGAGUAGAGGAAAGGUAGCUUCGGCCAUCCGGCGAGGGAUGGGCCCGCGGUGCAUUAGCUAGUUGGUGGGGUAACGGCCCACCAAGGCGACGAUGCGUAGCUGGUCUGAGAGGAUGAUCAGCCACACUGGGACUGAGACACGGCCCAGACUCCUACGGGAGGCAGCAGCCAGGAAUCUUGGGCAAUGGGCGAAAGCCUGACCCAGCAACACCGUGUGGGUGAUGAAGGCCUUAGGGUCGUAAAGCCCUGUUGAUAGGGACGAAGGGCGAAGGGUUAAUAGCCCCUAGCUUGACGGUACCUUUCGAGGAAGCCCCGGCUAACUACGUGCCAGCAGCCGCGGUAAUACGUAGGGGGCGAGCGUUGUCCGGAAUUAUUGGGCGUAAAGAGCGUGUAGGCGGUUCGGUAAGUCUGCUGUGAAAUCCUGGGGCUCAACCCUGGGCGUGCAGCGGAUACUGCCGGGCUAGAGGGUGGUAGAGGCGAGUGGAAUUCCGAGUGUAGCGGUGAAAUGCGCAGAUAUUCGGAGGAACACCAGUAGCGAAGGCGGCUCGCUGGGCCACACCUGACGCUGAGACGCGAAAGCGUGGGGAGCGAACAGGAUUAGAUACCCCGGUAGUCC